rnacentral:rRNA from 1 species
GAUGAACGCUGGCGGCGUGCCUAAUACAUGCAAGUCGAGCGAACAGACGAGGAGCUUGCUCCUCUGACGUUAGCGGCGGACGGGUGCGUAACACAUGGAUAACCUACCUAUCAGACUGGGAUACCUUCGGGAAACCGGAGCUACUACCGGAUAAUAUAUUGAACCGCAUGGUUCAAUAGUGAAAGACGGUUUUGCUGUCGCUUAUAGCGGGGUCCGCGCUGCAUUAGCUAGUUGGUAGGGUAACGGCUUACCAAGGCGACGAUGCAUAGCCGGCCUGAGAGGAUGAGCAGAGACACUGGGACUGAGACACGGCCCAGACUCCUACGAGAGGCAGCAGUGGGGAAUAUUGGACAGUGGGCGAAAGCCUGAUCCAGCAAUGCCGAGUGAGUGAUGAAGGCCUUAGGGUUGUAAAGCUCUUUUACCCGGGAUGAUAAUGAUAGUACCGGGAGAAUAAGCUCCGGCUAACUCCGUG